rnacentral:rRNA from 1 species
CAGUCGCCACGGUAAUACGUAGGGUGCAAGCGUUAAUCGGAAUUACUGGGCGUAAAGCGUGCGCAGGCGGUUCGUUAAGACAGAUGUGAAAUCCCCGGGCUUAACCUGGGAACUGCAUUUGUGACUGGCGGGCUAGAGUAUGGCAGAGGGGGGUAGAAUUCCACGUGUAGCAGUGAAAUGCGUAGAGAUGUGGAGGAAUACCGAUGGCGAAGGCAGCCCCCUGGGCCAAUACUGACGCUCAUGCACGAAAGCGUGGGGAGCAAACAGGAUUAGAUACCCCUGUAGUCCCUGUCUCUUAUAC